rnacentral:miRNA from 1 species
GAGCCUCGCUGGAGGAGGUGUGUCACUGGUGACAGGCUUUGAGGUUUAUCAGCCCAGCCCUACUGAGUG